ACCCGAAGCUAAAUUAGGGCUUUUUGUGAUUUCUUCUUUCCAAGCUUAAAUCAAGGUAAUAUCCAUCAUAAUCUAGCCUCUAUUCCUUCGAUCUAUACAUCUUUCUUAUCAAAUUUGAGUUUUUGAUUUCCAUUUUGAAUUUUUGGUGCAUGAAUCCGGUUUCUCCUUAAACCAUGAAGCUAGGCUAUGGGUUUGGCAAGGAUUUUUGGUGAAGAAGGCCAAGGAGAAGGAAUAGGAUGUGAUUUUUGAAGAGGAAAGGGUAAGGAAUGAGUUUUGGACAAACCCUAGAAUUUUUGGAAUUUAUUUGGUUGAUUUUGUUUAUGUUGAGCUAUUGUUGUUGUUGGAAAAAUUGUGAAAUUAGAGAUUUGAGGAUGGUUAAAUUAGUAGGAUUUUAGUAGCAU